GAAAUGCGAUAAGUAGUGUGAAUUGCAGAAUUCAGUGAAUCAUCGAAUCUUUGAACGCACAUUGCGCCCCUCGGUAUUCCGUGGGGCAUGCCUGUUCGAGCGUCAUUUCCCCCUCAAGCUCCGCUUGGUGUUGGGCGUCUGUCCCGCUUCGCGCGUGGACUCGUCCCAAAGGCAUUGGCAGCGGUCGCGCCGGCUUCUCGCGCAGCACAUUGCGCUUCUCGAGGCACGCGGGCCCGCGUCCAUCAAGUCCAUCUCCAGUUUGACCUCGGAUCAGGUAGGAAUACCCGCUGAACUUAA
rnacentral:misc_RNA from 1 species